GAUGAACGCUGGCGGCGUGCCUAAUACAUGCAAGUCGAGCGAACGGACGAGAAGCUUGCUUCUCUGAUGUUAGCGGCGGACGGGUGAGUAACACGUGGAUAACCUACCUAUAAGACUGGGAUAACUUCGGGAAACCGGAGCUAAUACCGGAUAAUAUUUUGAACCGCAUGGUUCAAAAGUGAAAGACGGUCUUGCUGUCACUUAUAGAUGGAUCCGCGCUGCAUUAGCUAGUUGGUAAGGUAACGGCUUACCAAGGCAACGAUGCAUAGCCGACCUGAGAGGGUGAUCGGCCACACUGGAACUGAGACACGGUACAGACUCCUACGGGAGGCAGCAGUAGGGAAUCUUACGCAAUGGGCGAAAGCCUGACGGAGCAAAGCCGCGUGAGUGAUGAAGGUCUUCGGAUCGUAAAACUCUGUUAUUAGGGAAGAACAUAUGUGUAAGUAACUGUGCACAUCUUGACGGUACCUAAUCAGAAAGCCACGGCUAACUACGUG
rnacentral:rRNA from 1 species